rnacentral:rRNA from 1 species
AUUGAACGCUGGCGGCAGGCUUAACACAUGCAAGUCGAGCGGGGUGAUGGUGCUUGCACUAUCACUUAGCGGCGGACGGGUGAGUAAUGCUUAGGAAUCUGCCUAUUAGUGGGGGACAACAUCUCGAAAGGGAUGCUAAUACCGCAUACGUCCUACGGGAGAAAGCAGGGGAUCACUUGUGACCUUGCGCUAAUAGAUGAGCCUAAGUCGGAUUAGCUAGUUGGUGGGGUAAGGGCCUACCAAGGCGACGAUCUGUAGCGGGUCUGAGAGGAUGAUCCGCCACACUGGGACUGAGACACGGCCCAGACUCCUACGGGAGGCAGCAGUGGGGAAUAUUGGACAAUGGGGGGAACCCUGAUCCAGCCAUGCCGCGUGUGUGAAGAAGGCCUUAUGGUUGUAAAGCACUUUAAGCGAGGAGGAGGCUCUUUUGGUUAAUACCCAAGAUAAGUGGACGUUACUCGCAGAAUAAGCACCGGCUAACUCUGUGCCAGCCGCCGCUGUAA